AAGAGUAUGCUUUCAGGAAUCAUUUCUAUAAUUUGUUACUAGAGAAGUUUCUCGGAUCUUGGAGAGCUCCAGAAGCCAUGAGAAGGAGGCACAGGUUAUCCUCCUGGGCGUGAAGCCGGCUCUUGGUGCUGCUUCACUGCAACUGCCGUUUGCCGUUCACGAUGUGUCUUCUCUUCCUUCAGGAGAGUAAGAGGGAGAGGACGCAGUGUGAGUGGU
ensembl:snoRNA U3 Small nucleolar RNA U3